AAAAUUAACUGUAUUAAAAAAGAUUAGAUGAUACACUCGAAUAAUAAAACCUUGCUACGUGUAUGAUAUUUUUCCCCACCAUUAAUAAUAAUAUUUAUAAUAAUAAUAAAUUUUCUCAAGAUAUUUACUAAAGCAAGUAUAAUGACUAUUUUUUCAGGUUUCGUAAAUAUAUUAAGGAGUAGACACUAGUCAUGAGUUUUAAAAUUGCAUAUACCCUAUAGUACAAUGUCUGCCUUGUAGCACGAAAUUAGGGUUUUCUUGUCUGCCGUGUCCCACGAAAUUCAAAUCUAGGGCUUUGAGUUUUCUGCAGAUUAAAGGGGGAAAAUUACUAGAAGACAAAGGUGAGUCAUGGCCAAUGUAGAACUGGUAGAUACGGAGCUAGCCAAAUCUCAAUAUCAUAGAUGAAGAGGAAGAUCCCAUGGUGGUUUUGGAAGAAAAUAAGGCUGAUGAAGAGGUAUAUAAUCUUUGUUUGGUGGGGAGAGUUCUUACGGAUAGUGUUGUGAACUUCCCAUCCUUAAGAAACGCUCUGGCUGAUUUAUGGCAUCCAUUGAGAGGGGUAUCAAUCACAGAAUUGGAGAAUAAAAGGAUCUUAUUUAGAUUUUACAGUAAGAUUGAUUUAAAGCGAGUCCUGGAUGGAAUGCCAUGGUUUUUUAACCGUCAUCUUAUUAUUUUCCACAAAUUAGCAGGGGGCGAAGAUCCAAAUUUGAUUCCCCUAUGGCUCACAGCUUUUUUGGUGCAAGUCCACAACCUGCCAAUAGGUGCUACAUCUGAGGGAACAGCGCGCUAGCUUGGUGAAUUUGUUGGAAAAUUUAUGGAGUAUGACUCAACGUUGGUGACAAGAGGAGGUAGUAAAUUCAUGAGAAUCAGGGUUCUACUUGAUGUUCGGAUACCUCUUAAAAGGAAAAAACGAAUUUGCAUUGAGCAUAAUAAAUUUAUUUAUGUUUUAUUCCACUAUGAAAGAUUGUCACUUUUUUGCUUUAUUUGUGAGAGACUUGGUCAUGGAGAGAGUUACUGUGAAGUAAGACUAACUUCUGGGAAUCAACAAGUGGAGUUUGGAUGGGAUCUGUCGCUGAGAACAACGCCAAGACGGGGAGGACAAGCCGUGAGCAAAUGGCUAAGAGAGGAACCAGAAAAGGAUAAAUGGAAUAUGGAGAUUGAUGGGGAAAGCGGGGUAAGAAGAUCCGAUGAGGAGGUUAAAAAUAGAAACGAGCUCCGAGAAGAAGCACGUUUUUUGGGACGCUUCACACGGAAAAUACGGAUUAUAAACACAAGGGAUAGUAUUAAUUCGAGGCAUAUGGAAGACAGGGAAUUCGAAGAAGAGAUGGAAGAUUUACCAGUAGAGCUUGUGGAUGGAAAAAAGAGACAGAGGAUUAAUUUAGAAGGGGAGGUUCUGGGUAAUAUUAAGAACCUAGCAGAAGGAGAUGUAGAGAACAUUUUAUCGGCGGUCACCUCAAAGGUAGCUGACCGGGCGCAAUGAAAAUCCUAAGUUGGAAUGUUCGGGGUUUGGGACAACCACGAACAGUUCGACGUAUCAAAAACAAAUUGAGACAUAUCAAGCCUCAGAUUUUGUUUCUUAUGGAAACAAAGGUCACAAGUAAACGGGUGGAAUCAAUAAGAAGGCAAUGUGGGUUUAUAAAUGGAAUCGAUGUGGCGGCAGUAGGCACGAAAGGAGGGUUAUCAUUAGGGUGGAAUGAGGGUUGGAAUGUAACUUUGAAAAGUUUCUCGAAAUCCCAUAUUGAUGUAGAAAUAGAGAAUGAAGAUGAGAUGGGCCCCAUGGAGACUCACAGGAUUUUACGAAUAACCAAUUGAGAAUUAAAGGAAAAAGUCUUAGGAACUAUUAAAAAUUCUAAAAUGUGAUAAUAGUAAGCCAUGGCUGACUAUCAGAGAUUUUAAUGAAAUUCUUUACUCUUUUGAGAAAAAAAGGGGGAAGAAUUCGAGAGAAAAGACAGAUGGCUGCAUUUAGGGAAGCACUUGAAUACUGCGAUCUACAUGACUUGCGGUUCUUUGGACAGUGGUACACAUGGAAGAGAGGUCGUCUGGCUGCAAACAAUUUUAGGGAAAGACUGGAUAGAGGUGUAGCAAAUAUGGAAUGGUGGGAUCUUUUUCCAAGAUAUAAGGUUAACCACUUACAACAUAAUUUUUCUGAUCAUUUUCCGGUAGAGGUAGAUACACUUGGGGAUGGAGGGAUGCAAUGGGGGGUAAAACAAUGGCGUUUUCGUUUUGAUGCAAAUUGGAUUUUGAAUGAUGAAAUUGAGGAGCGGGUAAAACAGGAAUGGAACUCCAAUAGCUUAGAUGUGCUUGAAAAGUUGAAAAAAGUGGGAGUGAAUCUGAGUACUUGGGCGAAGAAUGAGAAACGAAGGAAAGAACAAAGAAUGGAAGUUUUAAAUGGAAGAUUAUCAAAUUUAGGUGCUAGCGAAAUCAAUGAUACUGUAUUGGAGGAAAUUAUAGAGAUUAAGUUAGAAUUGAAUCUCGAAGCAGAUAAAGAGGAGCUAUUCUGGGAAGAAAUGGCAAGAGUUAACUGGCUCAGUAUGGGAGACAAGAAUACGGCAUUUUUGCACAAGAAUGCAACAAAUCGCAGAAGGAAAAAUAGCAUUAGGGGGCUGGAAAAUGAAGCUGGACAAUUGAUUACUGAUGAGUCUGAAAUUAUGGCUUUGGCAGCUAAGUUCUUCAAAGAAUUGUUCGCAUCUCAACCUGUAAACAAUUGUGAUAGAUUGUUUGAUUCUUUUUUACCAUGCAUUAUAGAUGAACAUAACAGUAUUUAAAUGGAGGAAUUUAAAGAAGAAGAAGUGGUGAGGGCGAUAAAAUCCAUAGCACCCCUCAAAGCAUUAGGACAGGAUGGAUUCCUAGCAAUUUUUUAUCAAAAAUACUGGCAUAUUGUUGGAAAGGAAGUUUCAAAAUUUUGCUUGGAUAUUCUUAAUGGGAGAAGAAAUUUUGAAGAGAUAAACAAUACAAAUAUAGUUCUUAUCCCCAAGAAGAAAUCGCCAAAAUCUAUGAAUAAGUUUCGUCCUAUUAGUUUGUGCAAUGUAAUCUAUAAAAUUGUCUCAAAAGUCAUUGUUUCCCGUUUUUGACAGGUACUGGAUUUAUGUAUUGAGGAUACAUAAGGUGCGUUUGUACCGGGAAGGCAAAUUACAGGCAACAUCCUCAUAGCAUAUGAGGUAUUGCAUUCUUUCAAAAAAAGAAGAGGAAUAUUGAAUAAAAGUUUCGCUUUAAAACUGGAUAUGAGCAAGGCAUAUGACAGAGUUGAGUGGAGUUUUUUAGAAAAAAUGAUGCGUAGUAUGGGCUUCUGUGAGGAUUGGAUUUUACUCAUUAUGAAAUGUAUCACUAGUGUAAUAUACACAGUGGCGAUUAAUGGGAAGAAUGGGGAAGAAUUCAGGCCAAAACGAGGAUUAAGACAAGGUGAUCCAUUAAGUCCAUACUUAUUUCUCAUUUUUGCAGAAUGAUUUUCAAGGCUAAUUACGCUCGUAAAAAGGGAAGGGAGGCUUUCAGGAACUAAGGUGGGAAGAGGUAACGUUUCGGUAUCACAUAUGUUCUUUGCAGAUGAUAGUAUACUAUUUGGAGAAGCUUUAGCAGAAGGAGCAAAUAGCAUGAACCGGGUGAUUCAAGAGUACGAAAAAGUUUCUGGGCAAUUGGUCAAUUUUGAUAAGUCCCUUAUCUUUUUCAGCGGCAAUGUGGAUUUGAUUACACAGGGUCAAGUGGGAAGGAUGUUAGGUGUCAGGAUUUCUAACAAUCCGGAGAAAUAUUUGCGGCUACCAACUAUGGUGGGUCCCCGAAAAAAGCAUGCUUUUGUGACUAUAAAAGAGAAAUGUGUGAAGUUAUUGGACAAUUGGAAGAUGAGAUUUUUAUCGGCUGGAGGAAAGGAGGUACUUUUAAAAUCUAUUUUGCAAGCAAUUCUGGUUUACGCAAUGCAAUGUUUUAAGUUACCUAUUACAUUUUGUCAAGAUCUCGAGAAUUUAAUGUCCAAAAUUUGGUGGCGGAAUUCUAAAACAAAUAAAGGGAUUCACUGGUGCAAAUGGAAAGAUUUAUGUAUCCCCAAAGCAAAGGGAGGGUUAGGUUUUAAAGAUCUGUCAAAGUUUAAUUUGGCCCUGUUAGCAAAGCAGGGGUGGAAACUUAUUAUGCAACCUGAUUGUUUGUUAGCACGUGUUAUGAAAGCCAAGUAUUAUCCGAAAGGGGAUUUUAUGUGUGCGGGUUUAGGAGCCUACCCUUCGUUUACCUGGCGCAGCAUUUUGGGAGCUAGAUACCUUCUCGAAGAAGGAAUGGAAUGAUGAAUCGGUAAUGGGGAUUCAGUUAACAUCUGGAAUGAUAAAUGGCUGCCGGGAUCUGGAAAUGGUAGAAUAGAAUGUCAAAAUAUUGAUAUUAGGUAUACUAAAGUGUUUGAUCUAAUUAACAAAGAAGAGAAUACCUGGAAACAAGAGAUUAUUCGCACACUGUUCGGAGAGGAGCAAUUGCGGCACAUAGUUUCAAUCCCCUUGGUGAGCAAUAGGAUACAAGAUGUUCCAGUAUGAUGUGGUGACAACACUGGGGUAUACACAGCAAAGAGCGGCUACAGAUGGCUUAUUCUAGAAGGGGGUACAAGGAUAAAUAAUGAAACUUCUACUACUUUCUUUACAAAGUUUUGGGAGAUCAAGAUCCCAAGUAAAAUAUGUAUCCUAAUAUGGAGAAUUGCUAAUGACUAUCUACCUACUUUACAUAACCUAAAAGCCCGUUACUUGGUUGUCAACACUGUAUGCCCGGUAUGUCAAACUGAAGAGGAAUCGGUGGAUCACCUCUUUAGAGGUUGUUUCUUCACACAACAGGU
rnacentral:lncRNA from 1 species